rnacentral:rRNA from 1 species
GUACUUUCAGCAGUGAGGAAGGUGGAUAUGUUAAUAGCAUAUUCAUUUGACGUUAGCUGCAGAAGAAGCACCGGCUAACUCCGUGCCAGCAGCCGCGGUAAUACGGAGGGUGCGAGCGUUAAUCGGAAUUACUGGGCGUAAAGCGCAUGCAGGUGGUUUGUUAAGUCAGAUGUAGAAACGGCCCGGGGCUCAACCUACGGAAUUGCUAUUUAGAAACUGGACAAACUAGAGUACUGUAGAGGGGGUAGAAUUUCAGGUGUAGCGGUGAAAUGCGUAGAGAUCUGAAGGAAUACCGGUGGCGAAGGCGGCCCCCUGGACAGAUACUGACACUCAGAUGCGAAAGCGUGGGGAGCAAACAGGAUUAGAUACCCUGGUAG